ACAAGUAGCAUUACCAUACCAUACAUUAUGAAACCAUAGAAAACUAUCAUCCAAACAAGGAGUGAAAGGCAAGCCCAGAGAACGAGAUUGGAUUGAUUCGAUCACAGCUGGAGCUGGGUUUAGACAAGCAUGGUGAAUUGGAAUCUAUAGCCAUAAAUAAGAACGACACUUUUUGUCAAAAUGAGAAAUUUAGCUUAAUUAACCCUAUUUUGUUACGUUAAACCUCGUUAUUUCCAUUAUGAAAGAGAGGGAACUUGUGGGUUUUUGACAAUAACCAGAGUGGUGUUCUGAGGAAUCGUCCAUUAAAAGAAAAGAAAGAUAAUUUUUUAUGAGAGUUUAGAAGGCCGAGCCAGAAAGUUUUGGCCCACCAAACAGAACCCCAUUACCAGUACUUUUUCAGUUAAGAGAAUAGCUGCAGGUGCAGGUGCAGAGAGGGAGUUGAACGGAACAGAAGAGAAGAGGCGUUUUGAGAGAGGGUAAAGAUAUCAUAUCUCGAAGAGUAGACACACGAAUGCCAUAAAUAGAAAAUUCAAUAUUAUAUUAAGAGAGAGGAAGAGAAGAAAAAUGGAAGGUUGAGUACAGCGAAGCAGAUGUUUGUGGCUUUGUGCAGACCCACCCAACACGACACACACAUAUAUGUAUAAUAUAGAGAGAGAAAGUGCUGAUACUGCGAAGAAGGUUGGUCUUUGUCUCUUCAAAUUUUAAUGGACAACCUUGCCUACAAUUGACGUGGGUACCCACUACAUCUAAAUUUGGAUCCCCAAAAUUAGU
rnacentral:misc_RNA from 1 species